rnacentral:rRNA from 1 species
GAUGAACGCUGGCGGCGUGCCUAAUACAUGCAAGUCGAGCGAACGGACGAGAAGCUUGCUUCUCUGAUGUUAGCGGCGGACGGGUGAGUAACACGUGGAUAACCUACCUAUAAGACUGGGAUAACUUCGGGAAACCGGAGCUAAUACCGGAUAAUAUUUUGAACCGCAUGGUUCAAAAGUGAAAGACGGUCUUGCUGUCACUUAUAGAUGGAUCCGCGCUGCAUUAGCUAGUUGGUAAGGUAACGGCUUACCAAGGCAACGAUGCAUAGCCGACCUGAGAGGGUGAUCGGCCACACUGGAACUGAGACACGGUCCAGACUCCCACGGGAGGCAGCAGUGGGGAAUCUUCCGCAAUGGGCGAAAGCCUGACGGAGCAACGCCGCGUGAGUGAUGAAGGUCUUCGGAUCGUAAAGCUCUGUUAUUAGGGAAGAACAUAUGUGUAAGUAACUGUGCACAUCUUGACGGUACCUAAUCAGAAAGCCACGGCUAACUACGUG